rnacentral:tRNA from 1 species
UGCAUCGGCUGGGAAUCGAACCCGGGUCGCCCGCGUGGCAGGCGAGCAUUCUACCACUGAACCACCGAUGC